AAUAUUGCACAAUGGGCGCAAGCCUGAUGCAGCCAUGCCGCGUGUAUGAAGAAGGCCUUCGGGUUGUAAAGUACUUUCAGCAGUGAGGAAGGUGGGGUAUGGUUAAUAGCAUACUCAUUUGACGUUAGCUGCAGAAGAAGCACCGGCUAACUCCGUGCCAGCAGCCGCGGUAAUACGGAGGGUGCGAGCGUUAAUCGGAAUUACUGGGCGUAAAGCGCAUGCAGGUGGUUUGUUAAGUCAGAUGUGAAAGCCCGGGGCUCAACCUCGGAAUUGCAUUUGAAACUGGCAAACUAGAGUACUGUAGAGGGGGGUAGGAAUUUCAGGUGUAGCGGUGAAAUGCGUAGAGAUCUGAAGGAAUACCGGUGGCGAAGGCGGCCCCCUGGACAGAUACUGACACUCAGAUGCGAAAGCGUGGGGAGCAAACAGGAUUAGAUACCCUGGUAG
rnacentral:rRNA from 1 species